AACCAUUGGUGGUCUUCGCCUUUCCAACCGGCUAAAGGCCGCACGUUCUCCUUCCUAGUUCCGUCCUUAUUCUCUUCGUAUGCCAUGAGGAAGAGACGCGAGCGCGAUCGAAAGGAAGACCCUGCCAUAUACGAACCAAAGCGAGACCAUCCAAAAACGACUUCUGGCCUUGAUCAGGGCGUGAAGUAAAGCCGAGUCUUUUUUGCAAGUUAAUCAAAAUCCCGGGAUUUGGGGGGCUCCCUUGGUACGCCCAAAGAAGGACGUGGUGGCAGGACCCCUUCGGUGCCUCUAUAAACAUACUUGAAUAGUGUGAUGCUCAGGGGAAUGAGACUCCACUUUGCCCUUGGCCAGUCAUACAAAAAGAAGAGCACCACGCUUCGUCCACGACCAGAACAUUGGUCACAACAGGAUAAACCACAACAAAACAUUCCAAAAAACGCCGCCAUGCCGAGGAAGUUCAGAAUUGAGAUGACGAAAGAAAAGCAGCGCUUCAAGAGGCGAAGAAAAUAGUCGCGUCUUCCGUACACGAUGCAAAACUCAACUCAAGGGCUGCGCCACCAAAGCAACGUGACGAUUGAGGGACUCCCAAGAUGGGCGUGAACCUCAGGGCGUGGAGAGGACACAACUCUUCAUCAGAGGGUCUCAUAAGUACUCUUGCAUCUACUCUGUUCCAAGCGGAACGUGCUUGAAAUUGAUAAGUAUACAAUGCACAUGAAUAAUGGCCGAUUGGAUCAUCAAGGGAUUGCAUAUUCCCCAUUGAUAUGUCAUUUUUAGCUGGUUCCAUAAGGCAGACGAUGUCAAAUGAAACAAUCAUGUUUCCUUUUAAUAACGCUUGUCAAAGAAAGAAUUAUGUACUCAUCCAUCACGGGAGUGAGUGCUGAGCAUUCAGUAAUUCGGUGAUCGAUUGCUCCCCUGAGAUUAUCGAGGCCAAACGAAUUGGUUGCCGAGGAAAACAGCCUGAGCUAUUCGAGGUUUUGUGAACAGCUUUGAUUCUACCGUUCC